rnacentral:tRNA from 1 species
UGGAUCACCUCCUAACAGGGAGACAACAAAAUGUUUAAUAUUAUUAUUUUGUCACCUUAGGUCGAUCGGUAUCUCACAUCCUUAAAUUAAUUAAGGAUUUUAUUUCCUAAGUUUUUCUAGGUCACACCCAUUAUUUUUCCUGGGCCAUUAGCUCAGGUGGUUAGAGCGCACCCCUGAUAAGGGUGAGGUCCCUGGUUCAAGUCCAGGAUGGCCCAUAUCUCUAUGUUGGGGGUAUAGCUCAGUUGGUAGAGCGCCUGCUUUGCAAGCAGGAUGUCAGCGGUUCGAGUCCGCUUACCUCCACUGAUUACCACCUCUUCCAUAAUUUUAAGGAAAUGUUUUGAGUUGUGAUCAAAUUCUGAGCGAAUCUAGCUUCCUAAUGAAAUCAUUAAGAUGCUGGACUCAUUGAAUUAAAUUCAUUGUUUUCAGAGAACCUUGACAACUGCAUAGAUUAUUUUUAAAGACAAUAAGCAUCUUUAAUGAUGCAGAUUUAUUAUUUGUGCGAAUGCAUUAAUAACAAUUCUAUUAAGCUGAUGCUUCAAUUUUUGAAGUUAUUGGUCAAGCUACAAAGGGCUCACGGAGGAUACCUAGGCACACAGAGGCGAUGAAGG